rnacentral:rRNA from 1 species
UACGGGGGGGGCAAGCGUUGUUCGGAAUUACUGGGCGUAAAGGGCUCGUAGGCGGCCAACUAAGUCGGACGUGAAAUCCCUCGGCUUAACCGGGGAACUGCGUCCGAUACUGGAUGGCUUGAGAUUGGGAGAGGGAUGCGGAAUUCCAGGUGUAGCGGUGAAAUGCGUAGAUAUCUGGAGGAACACCGGUGGCGAAGGCGGCAUCCUGGACCAACACUGACGCUGAGGAGCGAAAGCCAGGGGAGCAAACGGG